rnacentral:tRNA from 2 species
GGCGGAGUAGCUCAGUUGGUUAGAGCAGCGGAAUCAUAAUCCGAAGGUCGGGGAUUCAAAUUCCUCCUCCGCUACCA